AGCGAACGCUGGCGGCAGGCCUAACACAUGCAAGUCGAACGAACUCUUCGGAGUUAGUGGCGGACGGGUGAGUAACACGUGAGAACGUGCCUUUAGGUUCGGAAUAACUCAGGGAAACUUGUGCUAAUACCGAAUGUGCCCUUCGGGGGAAAGAUUUAUCGCCUUUAGAGCGGCCCGCGUCUGAUUAGCUAGUUGGUGAGGUAAAGGCUCACCAAGGCGCCGAUCAGUAGCUGGUCUGAGAGGAUGAUCAGCCACAUUGGGACUGAGACACGGCCCAAACUCCUACGGGAGGCAGCAGUGGGGAAUCUUGCGCAAUGGGCGAAAGCCUGACGCAGCCAUGCCGCGUGAAUGAUGAAGGUCUUAGGAUUGUAAAAUUCUUUCACCGGGGACGAUAAUGACGGUACCCGGAGAAGAAGCCCCGGCUAACUUCGUG
rnacentral:rRNA from 1 species